UGUAAAAAUUGUCUUCUUGUUUUAUAAUUUCAUCAACUCUGUCUUUUACAGAACAAUUUUCACCAUUGCAGUGUCUUGAGAAAGCAUGGCCAUUGCAAGCUUUAGUUUACCUCUUACAUAUUAUCCAUCACAAACAAGAUGGAUAAGAAACAAAUCACCAUCUUAUUGUUGUUGCAGCAGCUCAUUUGAGAAGCCAAUUGUUGCUCCUUCUUCUUCCAAUUGUAUAGCUAACAAAGCCUUGCAGGAAAUUCACAAUUCUGGUGUUAUUGCUUGCCUUAGAGCCCAAAAUGCAGACCUGGCGAAUCGAGCUGCACGUGCGGCAUUGGAUGGUGGAAUAUCAGUUCUGGAAAUUGUGGUGUCCACUCCAGAUGCCUUUGAGGUGUUAAGAAACCUAGUACAUGAUUAUCCCACAAAAACUUUCGGAGUUGGAACAGUGUUACAGGCUAAAGAUGCCAAAGAUUCUAUAAAGUUUGGAGCUAAGUUUCUUAUGAGUCCUGCAACAGUUAUGGAUAUUCUAGUUGGUGUCUCAGAGAUUGAUGCUUUGUAUAUACCUGGGGUAAUGACCCCCACGGAGAUAUUAUCUGCUUUCAGUGCAGGUGCCAAGAUUGUCAAGGUUUAUCCAGUCUCUGCAUUAGGUGGCGUUGGGUACAUUUCAGCUCUGAAAAGGCCGUUCUCUCAUAUACCUAUGGUUGCAUCGCAAGGCAUAACAAUAGAUUUGAUUGGGCAAUACAUUGGUCAUGGAGCAUCAGCAGUUGUUCUAUCCGAUGCCAUAUUUGACAAAGAGGCAAUGAAUCAAUGGAAUUUUGAUAAAAUAUAUCAACGUGCGAGCCAUGCGGCUUUGCAGGGUAAACAAGCUGUUGAAAGGCCAGAAUGUUAGGUGCUGAUGCAUCUGUCUAUUUGUUAAAACCUCAUGGAACUGAAGGUACUUACAAGAAACGAGAAAUGAGAUUAGCACAUCCGCCAUCCUGCUUGAAGUUUGGAAAAUCUGUUGUGUUGGUUUCGGUUGGCAAAGUUUUUCCCCCUUUAGUGGGCCUUGGUCGAAUCUAGAUUAGUUAUGACCCGUAGACUUUUGAUAUCAGAUGGUUAAACCGAAAAGAAAAGUUGUGUUGGUUAUUCCAUCAAGUUCUCUAAUCUGAAGAAGGGUGCAGGCAAUGCAGAUUACAAGCGAUUGCAGGUUGCUAAAUGAGUGCGCUUUCACAACUUCAUUGUUGUUUUCGUCUAACCAUUCAGCUGAUGAUGGCAGGCUAACUGAACUCUUAGUUUCUGUUACAUAUUUAGACAACAUUUUCCCAAGAAUGGUUAUCAAAUUCCAAAAGGAACUCUAGUUGGUCCCUUACCUUUAGAAUGGUUUAACUGAUGAAGAAUGAUGUUCUUUCUUCAGCUUAUGUAUUCUAUCUUCCAAAUUUAUUUGUGAAUUUGUUAGAUACAAGUAUUGUAGUUUAAGAUUAAAUGUUAUACACUGAUGGUGUAAGUAUAUUUACGUAAUCAGAUUAAUUAAAAAGAUAAUUGCAGGUUACU